rnacentral:rRNA from 1 species
AUUGAACGCUGGCGGCAGGCCUAACACAUGCAAGUCGAGCGGAUGAAGGGAGCUUGCUCCUGGAUUCAGCGGCGGACGGGUGAGUAAUGCCUAGGAAUCUGCCUGGUAGUGGGGGAUAACGUCCGGAAACGGGCGCUAAUACCGCAUACGUCCUGAGGGAGAAAGUGGGGGAUCUUCGAACCUCACGCUAUCAGAUGAGCCUAGGUCGGAUUAGCUAGUUGGUGGGGUAAAGGCCUACCAAGGCGACGAUCCGUAACUGGUCUGAGAGGAUGAUCAGUCACACUGGAACUGAGACACGGUCCAGACUCCUACGGGAGGCAGCAGUGGGGAAUAUUGGACAAAGGGCGAAAGCCUGAUCCAGCCAUGCCGCGUGUGUGAAGAAGGUCUUCGGAUUGUAAAGCACUUUAAGUUGGGAGGAAGGGCAGUAAGUUAAUACCUUGCUGUUUUGACGUUACCAACAGAAUAAGCACCGGCUAACUUCGUG